UAGUACUUUUGUUUUUAUUUGACAAGCAUUAUUCAAUUAUGAAGCAACUAGGCUUAAAAGAUCCGUCUCGUGAUUUAUAAGUAAACUGUGUAAUUAGUUAUCUUUUUUAUCUACAUUUAAUGUUCCAUGCAUGUGUCGAAAGAUUCGAUGUGAUGGAAAAUCUUGUAAAGUUUUGGGUUUUUAGGUGUAUCUAAGAGCAUCUCCAACCAUUAUGCAUUUGAAGUUAUGCAUUUUACGCAAAUUGUAAACCCUCAAAUGAAAAUGGCAAGGCUAAAAUCGGAUAAUCUCCAACCGUUAUGCAAAAUGCCAAGUCCAUCAUCUUUUUUUUCCUAGAAAUUUUGUUUCGCGGCACUCCUUCCCGCGCAGCCAAUCGAUCCUGCGCCAAACAGCCCGCCGUCGUCUCCCGUUCACCAAUUCCCGCCCCUUGGCUCAAGUACCGAUCUCCAUCAGGUCCUGUUCCCCAUCAGUUUCCGGUCGCCGCCAUCAGUUCGUCGUCAAGGCAGGUCGCCGCCAUCAGUCAAGUCGUUGC
rnacentral:lncRNA from 1 species